rnacentral:misc_RNA from 1 species
GAUGAAGAACGUAGCGAAAUGCGAUACGUAAUGUGAAUUGCAAAUUCAGUGAAUCAUCGAGUCUUUGAACGCACAUUGCACCUCUCGGUAUUCCGGGAGGUAUGCCUGUUCGAGCGUCAUUUGUACCCUCAAGCUCUGCUUGGUGUUGGGUGUUUGUUCCGCCUCUGUGUGUGAACUCGCCUCAAAACAAUUGGCAGCCGGCGUACUUGUUUCGGAGCGCAGCACAUUUUGCGAUCCAGAUCAACGUACAGCGGCAUCCAAGAAGCCUUAUUUAACGCUCUUGACCUCGGAUCAGGUAGGGAUACCCGCUGAACUUAAGCAUAUCAAUAAGCGGAGGA